CUGCUCUCCAGUGGUCACCUGUUGCCGGCUCAGAGAAGUCCAGUGAAGAGUGAAGAAUGGCGCCCCUAGGCCUGUUUGCAGUUGGGGUACUGGUGGUAUUGGUACAAGUCUCACAAGUUCAGAGUGAAGCGUACAAUUAUGGUUAUGAAUUGACAGAAAGAGGAAGUUACUAUGGAAAAGCUGAAGUUAUACCUUUACCUACAGCAUGGAUAAAUUCCAAUAUUAAACUCCCUCGUGGCAGCAUUUUGUUCAGUGUUAGCUUCUACAUAGAACCUAAUAUCACGAUAUCUUGCACAGGCAGCAUUCUUAUAUGGAAAGAACUUUCAAUCACUAACUUUGAGUUAGUAUAUAAAGAGGACAUCACAUUUAAUGUAGAACCUGGUUUACAAGAGUUUGAAUUCCCAGUGCCACAGCAGCUUUGUUAUGAUGCAGACAGCUAUAUUGGGUGGAGUUUUAAUGGCCCCAUUGGUCCUAUUUCCAUGGAACUAAACUCCAACUUAACGCACACCACCUACUUUACUCCCCCUCUACACAAAGGCAUGAUCUACUCCACGUUUUUUCCUGUCCCUUACAGCUUUUCGUUUCAAGUUGCUGUAAAUACUACUGGUGCUUACGAUUCUCCACCAGUAUGUGAUCAGUGCUUCAUUGGGCCGGAUGGAGAAACGGGUCCUGCUGGAAGCACUGGAACAAUUGGACCCGAGGGAGAGACGGGAUGGACUGGAUUCACAGGAUAUACUGGUGAAAAGGGUACAUCAGGAGACAAGGGACAGUUUGGAGAGACUGGAAUUACUGGUCCAACUGGUGAGACUGGAUUCACUGGUAUAGGUGACACUGGCGAGACUGGAAUUACAGGUGUUGAAGGUAGCACUGGAUUGACAGGGCCGGAGGGCGAGACUGGACUCAAAGGUGACACUGGUGACGUUGGGUUGACUGGACAGAAAGGUGAAAAAGGUGACAAGGGCUUGAAAGGAGUGGAAGGAGAGACCGGAGUGUCUGGAGUCUCGGGGCAAAAGGGACAGUUUGGUGAAACUGGUAUUAAGGGACAGUUUGGAGAGACUGGUUUGAAAGGAGACUUGGGUGAAACGGGUAUUCAGGGAGUUGGAAACACAGGUCCAGUAGGUGCCAGUGGUCUCAAAGGAAGCAAGGGUAACCUUGGAGAAACUGGUCCAUUGGGACCAACAGGAGAACUUGGACCUGGUGGAGAAACUGGCCAGAAGGGUGAUACUGGGGCUGUUGGAAACACUGGACUGAAGGGUGACCUUGGACAAACUGGUUUCACUGGACCUGUUGGAUCUACUGGAAUGAUUGGAGUUACUGGUCCUUCAGGUGGUGAAAAGGGUGAAAAGGGAGACUCAGGAAUACAGGGAUUUUCUGGUGUGUCUGGAGUGGUCGGAAGCACUGGAGUCCAAGGAAUACAAGGUGUCUCGGGACUUGUUGGUAGUACUGGUCAAAUGGGAGCAACUGGAAUCAAAGGGGAUACGGGGUCAACUGGUGCAACAGGCCUUAAAGGAGAUACUGGUGUUGAAGGAGCAACAGGGGACAAAGGAGACUCUGGAAUAAAGGGCGACACAGGUGCUAAAGGACAACAGGGAAACCAAGGAGUUGUUGGUAACACUGGACCUGUUGGGGCUUCAGGCGAUGUUGGCAAUACUGGAUCUAAAGGUGAGAAAGGAACAGAUGGUAAUGUAGGGUCCACUGGCCAGGUUGGUGCCACUGGUGCUAAAGGAGACACUGGUAGUCAAGGAAUCGAGGGAUCCACUGGGAAUGUUGGAGCGACCGGACCUGUUGGAACCACUGGUGUUGUGGGAUCGACUGGAGCACCGGGUUUAACAGGUUUGAAGGGAGAACAAGGUCAGAUUGGAAGUUCUGGUGUUAAGGGUGAUCAGGGUAUCAAGGGUGACACUGGUGUUCAGGGAACAACGGGGAAUACUGGUGCAAAAGGUGAUACAGGAGAGAAAGGAUCUACUGGUGCUGUAGGUGCAACUGGAGAUACAGGCUUAACUGGUGCUACCGGAACCAAAGGCGACCAGGGGACUACUGGCAACACCGGGAGCAAAGGAGACACUGGGUCAACUGGGUCUAAAGGGACAACAGGUGCAGUUGGAGCAACUGGGAGCAAAGGUCAGACUGGUGAUACUGGUAUCAAAGGAUCUACUGGUGUAACUGGAAGCACAGGAGUGCAAGGACAAAUUGGAAACACUGGUCAGAAGGGAGAAGGGGGUGCAAAGGGAGACCAGGGUUCAAAGGGCGAUACUGGCAGUACUGGGAUACAGGGAGUUAGUGGCAUAACUGGAGUACAAGGUAACAAAGGAGACAUUGGAGACACUGGUGUGCAAGGAGUGGAAGGUGCCACAGGGGAGAAGGGUUCUACUGGAGCAGUUGGUAACACUGGUAGUACUGGACAAGUAGGCGACACAGGAGUUAAAGGUCAGGUUGGUGCCACAGGCAAUACAGGACCAGUGGGGAGCACGGGAGUCGCAGGCUCAACAGGAUUGAAGGGUGAUCAAGGAAACGAAGGAGAUGUUGGAGCCACAGGUGGUGUUGGGGCAACUGGAGUUGUAGGAAGCACUGGUCCAACCGGAGCAACUGGUUCAAAAGGAGAUCAAGGAUCGACAGGAAACACUGGAGCAAAGGGUGAUACAGGAAAUGCAGGUACGGAAGGACAGACUGGUGACAAAGGCAAUGUAGGCGACACAGGAAUCCAAGGUGGAAAGGGAAGUAAGGGAGAUGGAGGUACUAAAGGUGAACAGGGUAUCCAAGGAGUAGUAGGAAGUACUGGUGUACAAGGAACAAAAGGAGACACUGGCUCAGAAGGUGCAAAAGGACAGUUUGGCAAUACUGGUGUCAAAGGUGAUGUUGGGAACACUGGAUCAAAGGGAGACACUGGUGGUGUUGGAGCUACUGGUGAAAAAGGCCAGACUGGCAAUGUUGGCACUACUGGAGCCACUGGCAAUGUUGGAGCCACUGGAUCCAAGGGCGACACUGGAAAUGUAGGAGCCACUGGAGUUGUAGGAAGCACUGGACAAAAAGGUACUAAGGGAGAUGAUGGGAUCCAAGGAGUCUCUGGUGUAUCAGGGGCCACAGGUACUCAAGGUAUACAAGGUGUUAAAGGUGAUGACGGAGCAAAGGGAAGCGAUGGAGCUCAAGGUAUUAAAGGACAAGAUGGCAGUAAAGGAGAAGAGGGACAGUUUGGAUCUACAGGUUUACAGGGUGUUGCUGGGAAUACGGGAGCCAAGGGAGAAGUUGGUUCAACCGGGCUUGUUGGGUCAACUGGUCAAAAGGGAGACGUAGGAGCACAGGGAGGUGAAGGAAAUAUUGGCGACACUGGUAGCACUGGGGUUAAAGGUCAGACAGGUCAAACUGGAGCAACUGGUGUCCAGGGAGUUGUAGGAAACACAGGGGCCAAGGGAACAACAGGAGAUGUAGGUAGCACGGGUCUAAAGGGCCAGACUGGUAGCACAGGAGCAGUAGGGUCUACUGGACAAGUUGGCAGCACAGGACAGAAGGGAGAUCAAGGAAAUGUUGGCACGGAAGGAAACACUGGUGCAGUGGGCAACACAGGACCUGUUGGAGCAACUGGGGUUAAAGGCGAUCAAGGCUCUAAAGGAAAUGUUGGUGACACUGGCACAAAAGGGCAAUUUGGUACUACGGGAACUAAGGGCUCUGUAGGGGAUACAGGUGUUAAAGGAGACACUGGAGCUGUUGGUGCCACGGGUCAAAAAGGAGAUGGGGGUGAUACUGGUAACACAGGAGAGAAAGGUGAAGUUGGAUCUACUGGGUCUGUUGGUGUCGCAGGUAGCACAGGAGUUCAAGGAACAAAAGGAGAUGGGGGUGCCAAAGGAGAUCAAGGGCAGGUUGGAAAUACCGGGGUAAAGGGAGAUCAAGGAGUUAAAGGGGAUCAAGGAUUAGAAGGCGACGUUGGGAGUACAGGUACACAGGGUAUCCAGGGUGUUGUGGGAGAUACUGGCGUCAAAGGAAAUGAUGGUACUAAAGGAUCCCAAGGUGAAGAGGGACAAACAGGAAGUGUUGGAUCCACUGGACAAGUAGGUGCUACUGGUGUAAAGGGGGAUACUGGAGCAGUGGGCAGUACUGGAAGCAAAGGAGAUCAAGGCAUUGAAGGUGGAACUGGUGCUGUUGGGAGUACUGGUGUUCAGGGAGACAAAGGCAAUGUUGGUGAUACUGGAACACAGGGCCUGAAAGGAGAGACUGGACAAGUUGGUGACACAGGCAUUCAGGGUGCAACUGGACUAGUUGGUAGUACAGGACUGAAAGGUAAUGUUGGCGAUACAGGGAUUCAGGGUUCAACUGGAUUGCAGGGCACCAAAGGAGAUACUGGAGCGGUAGGCUCCACGGGUAUCCAGGGCACCAAAGGAGAUACGGGAAUACAGGGUGAUACUGGUGUUGUUGGUGCCACUGGACUAAAAGGCGAACUUGGUGCUACAGGAAAUACAGGACAGACUGGAGACACUGGAGUAAAAGGCUCUCAAGGCAUCCAAGGAAAUACGGGCCAAAAGGGAGAUGUGGGAUCUACUGGGCCUACAGGGUCAACAGGAGUUGUUGGAAGCACUGGUGUAAAGGGAGAUGUUGGAAAUACCGGAUUAAAGGGAACUACAGGCAGCACUGGAGCCAAAGGAGACCAAGGCAUUGCUGGAAACACAGGUGCUGUAGGAUCUACUGGUAGCAUUGGCCCUAAGGGAAAUACAGGACAAAUAGGAGAUACUGGCAUUCAGGGUACAAAAGGAAAUGUUGGUGAUACUGGUCCACAAGGUACACAGGGAAACAAAGGUGACACAGGAAAUGUAGGGUCAACUGGUGUAAAAGGCGACACUGGUGCAACUGGUACUUCUGGACUUAAGGGUGACCAAGGAAAUGUUGGAAAUACAGGAGCUAAAGGGGAAGUUGGUGCCACUGGAAAUGUUGGUGAUACUGGUAUCCAGGGAGAAAAAGGUGGAGUAGGCAACACAGGACCCCAAGGUAAUGUUGGGGAUACAGGUGCUAAGGGAGAACAAGGAUUGAAAGGACAAGUUGGCGAUACUGGAAUUCAGGGACAAACGGGUAACACUGGUAUUCAAGGUGAAACUGGAGUUGUGGGCAACACUGGAGCCAACGGACAAACUGGUAGUACUGGUGUCAAAGGAGAAACUGGAGCUGUUGGAAGCACUGGCAUACAGGGUCAGACUGGAAAUACUGGAGCUGUUGGUGCUACUGGAAGUGUAGGUGCAACAGGAAGUACUGGACAAGUUGGGGCCACUGGAGUUAAAGGAGGUGAUGGACAAAAAGGAAGUACUGGUGACAAGGGAUCCCAGGGUGAUGAUGGAAACACUGGAGUGAAGGGAACAACGGGUGAAAAAGGUCAGAUAGGCGACACUGGUGUAAAGGGUUCAACAGGUUUGACAGGAAGCACUGGACCUGAGGGCAAUACUGGAGCUGUAGGUAGUACAGGAAUAAAAGGUGAAGAUGGAAAUACUGGUGCUAAAGGAGAUGGAGGAGACCAAGGAGCUACAGGUCAAAAGGGAGACACUGGGGCUGUUGGCAGUACAGGACAAAAGGGUCAAUUUGGCAGCACAGGAACAAAGGGAGAUGAAGGCAAUACUGGUGCUACUGGACAAAAAGGAAGCAAUGGCAGCAAGGGUGAACAAGGACAGACCGGUAACACUGGAAUUAAAGGAGAGCAGGGUGUGGUCGGUGAUACAGGUGUCGAAGGUCAAACUGGUGAUGUUGGUGCGACUGGAACGAAGGGUCAAUUUGGAGAAACCGGUGCCAAGGGACAGUUUGGAACAACAGGUAUCCAAGGUGAAACGGGAGUGCAAGGAGCAACUGGACAGAAAGGACAAUUUGGGAACACAGGGCUCAAAGGUGUAGUUGGAGAUACUGGUGUCCAAGGACAGACAGGCAAUACUGGUGUCAAAGGAGACCAAGGUCUAACAGGAAGCACUGGAGCUGUUGGUGCUACAGGAAAUGUUGGCAACACUGGGCCUAAAGGUCAAACAGGAAGCACUGGUGUAAAAGGGGAUACAGGAAGUGUUGGAAGUACAGGUUUGAAGGGAGAUACUGGCAGCCAAGGUAACGAAGGUGUAACUGGAGCUGUUGGAGACACUGGUGUAAAGGGACAAACUGGUGGUACUGGACCCAAGGGAGAUGUUGGAAACACUGGUAUACAGGGUGAAACAGGACUCGAGGGAGAAACGGGAAAUGUUGGCAGCACUGGCUCUAAGGGUGAUAUUGGUGACACAGGAACCGAGGGAUCAACAGGUGAUGUUGGAAGCACAGGAAUUCAAGGUCAAACUGGAGUAAAGGGACAAACUGGUGAUAUUGGGGCAACUGGAUCUAAAGGUGAUCAAGGUGUUGUUGGCAACACUGGUGUAAAGGGAGAUCAAGGGAAUGUUGGAGACACAGGAGUCGAGGGAGACACUGGUAGUGCUGGAGCAAAGGGAGAUGUUGGCUCUACUGGACUCAAAGGAGAUCAGGGAAUCAAGGGAACUCAGGGGAUACAAGGCGUUCUCGGAGAUACCGGAGUGCAAGGUGUAAAAGGCAGCACUGGUGCUCAGGGAAUCACAGGUGAUAUUGGAAAUACUGGAGCGAUUGGAAUGACUGGUAGUAAAGGAGACCAAGGUGUGCAGGGUAAUGUCGGCAAUACUGGCUCUAAAGGUGACCAGGGAGAUACAGGACAAAUUGGAUCCACAGGUAUUGUAGGUAGCACUGGAGAAAAGGGACAAACUGGCCUAACAGGAACUCAGGGAGUACAGGGUGUCGUUGGAUCAACAGGGGCAACAGGACAAACAGGAAACACUGGACCAAAGGGAGACACUGGUAAUGUAGGGGCUACAGGAUCUAGUGGCAUCACGGGCAACACUGGACAAAAAGGAGACCAGGGCAUACAAGGAAAUGUUGGAAACACUGGACAAAAAGGAGAUCAGGGAGUUGUAGGAGACACGGGCGUAAAGGGAGACCAAGGUCAGACUGGUAAUACUGGAUCCAAAGGAGAUGUUGGAAGUACUGGAUCAAAGGGAAACACUGGCCAGGUAGGAAGUACAGGACAGAUAGGACAGACCGGUAAUACUGGAGUGGUAGGAGAUACUGGUCCUGUUGGAUCCACUGGUGAAAAAGGACAGUUUGGAUCUACUGGAGUUCAGGGACCAACAGGAUCUACUGGAGUCGAAGGAGGAAAGGGAGAAAUUGGCGUCUCUGGUACAACUGGUCUUGUUGGGAAUACUGGAGAAAAGGGUCAGAUUGGAAACACUGGUCCAUUUGGCUCAACAGGACAAGUUGGAGACACUGGCUCUAAGGGAGACACUGGAAAUGUUGGAAACACUGGACCACAGGGUAGUGUUGGAAAUACUGGAGCGAAAGGCGAUACAGGAGGUGUUGGCAACACUGGUCCUGUGGGCAAUAAAGGUGAUAAAGGUCAAACUGGUGCUGUUGGAAACACUGGUGUUCAAGGUGAUGUUGGCAGUACGGGACAAAUGGGAUCAACAGGACAGACUGGCAGUACUGGCUCAAAGGGAGACACUGGAAGUGUGGGUAACACGGGCCCUGUGGGUGCUACAGGAACAAAAGGUGACACUGGUGCUACUGGCAGUACUGGUACACCAGGCUUGAAGGGACAAACAGGUGAUAAAGGUGAUCAAGGCCAGAUUGGUAAUACAGGUAUUACUGGAAAUACUGGGCAAAAGGGAGAUCAAGGAAAUCAAGGGUCAAAAGGAGAACAAGGAAUUCAAGGAAAUGUUGGUGCCACUGGUCCAGAAGGUCAAACCGGAAGUACUGGAAAUACUGGUGUAAAAGGAGAUACUGGUAGCAAUGGAGUGAAAGGAGAAGUUGGAAAUACAGGGUCAAAAGGAGAAGUAGGCAAUACCGGUGCAAAGGGCGAUACUGGUGCUACAGGUGGUGUUGGUGCAACGGGACAACAAGGAAAUGUUGGAAACACUGGUCUAAAGGGAGCAACGGGUAACAAAGGUGAUACUGGAGCCACUGGAAAUGUUGGUAGUACUGGUAGCAAAGGAGAAGUAGGAGAGAAGGGUGAUCAGGGAACAACGGGUAAUGUUGGAGCUACAGGACUUACUGGCAGUACUGGUAACACUGGAGCAACAGGAUCCAAAGGUGACCUUGGCUCAACUGGUAACACUGGACCACAGGGAAGCAAAGGUGACAAUGGCCAGAAAGGCAACAUAGGUGACACCGGAUCAAAAGGACAGACGGGGAACACAGGACCGAAAGGCUCAACUGGUGCUAAAGGAGAUCAGGGACAAAUAGGAAACACUGGAGUAUCUGGUUCAAAGGGCGACACAGGAGCAGUGGGGUCAACUGGUGAAGAGGGAAGCACAGGACUUAAAGGAGAUCAGGGUAUUGUAGGUAUGACUGGAGUUACUGGAAAUACUGGAUCAAAGGGUGACCUGGGAAAUGUGGGAGACACUGGAGUAAUGGGAGAGAAGGGAGAUGGUGGUGCCACAGGAGUGUCCGGAGUCACUGGUGAUGUUGGAGCCACAGGAAAUGUCGGAAAUACAGGCCAAAAGGGUGACAAUGGUAAUACUGGUGUCGCUGGUCCUACUGGUACAAAGGGUGAUCAAGGAAAUGUGGGCAACACUGGUGCAACUGGACCUGUCGGAUCAACUGGAGCUAAAGGCGACAAGGGCGAAAAUGGAAAUACAGGACCAAUAGGUCAUACUGGACCGGAACCAACUGUUGACAAUGAUUGUAACACUGACAACGGAGGAUGUGAACAUAACUGUCAUAACAUGUUUGGAGCUCAUCAAUGUAGCUGCAAUUUGGGUUACACUCUCAAUGCUGAUAGACACAACUGUGAUGACAUUAACGAGUGCACUAGUUUUGGACCCUGCCCUCAAAUAUGUAACAACACCGAGGGAAGCUUCACCUGCAAUUGUUAUCCAGGAUUUAGACUACUGGCUGACCAACGAACAUGCAGAGACAUAGACGAAUGCCAACAAAUUCCUAUUGCAAUUAUAUGUGCACAAGUCUGGUCAAUGUGUGUUAACACUCCAGGAUCCUACAUCUGUGUUGGCAUCAGUCUUUCCAAUACAUAUAGAAGCUACCAAGGGAGCGAUGAUGCACAUUCAUGUCAAAAUGAAAAUGGUGGCUGUGCCCAUGUAUGUAAACAACUACCGAAGGGACAUGAAUGCUCCUGUCAUACAGGAUACCAAAUAGGUGGAGUCGAAGGCCUCAACUGUACAGACAUAAACGAGUGCGACAGUUGGCCGUGCAAUCAGAGGUGUAUCAACACGGAGGGCAGCUACAAUUGUGUCUGUGACGAAGGAUUCCAACUCGGUGAUGAUGGACAGACAUGUGAAGUAAGGAAAUCUUGCUCGGAUGGUAGUAAUGGAGGAUGUGACCAUGUAUGUCAGCAGCUGUAUGGAGCUCGCAAAUGUUCUUGUAGGCAGGGUUACGAGUUGUCUCUAAACUGAAUUCUCGUGUGAAGAUGUUGAUGAAUGUUCAAGAUAUCGUCCAUGCAAACAAGUCUGCAGCAAUAACGAAGGUGGAUUUGACUGCAGCUGCUUCCCGGGAUACAAUCUUGUGGCCGACACUGGUUUUUGUGAAGAUAUAGAUGAAUGUCUGAAUCCUGAAGCCUGUCUUGGAGGGACGACCUGCUUCAAUACUGGAGGUUCCUUCACCUGUUUAAAUUUGAAUGUUGCUAAGGAGGAUGAAGAUCCAGACCUUCAAGGAGAUUUUGUUGAUGGAAUAUAUCAUGAUGAUGCUGGACACCUUAAGCCUGUUCUAGGAGAGAAAUCCACAGAAACCCUAUCAAGUACCCAAAUGAUCAUCAUAAUCGGUGUGAUGGCUGGAAUUAUUCUUCUUGUCGCUGUUGGUGCUGCUAUUGGUUGCAUACUUGUAUACCAGCGUGUGGAAAUACAUCGACGCAAGGAUUCUAUGACUGGCCUGCUAGUUCCAUCUAACAUGCGCAGUGCCUCGACUUGUGGUGAUGUAGAGGCAGCACCUUCAGAGACAUUCAACCCUUAGUACAGACAUUAAAAACAUUGAAAUCUUCAUUGAACUACUGAUCGUCUGUAAUGCUUCAAAAAUUUCUCAAGAUUUUUUACUUUAACUCUAUUCAUUUGUCAAUCAUUUGGAGCAUAGCUGAAAUACUAUGCGAAUCCAAACCAGUCUUUCACCAUAUAUAGUGCUGAACCGUUAAGAUAAUGUGAUUUCUUUCCAAAGGAAAAAUAUACUAAGAUUGUUAUUCAGAGUAAAUGGUAAGGCAAAUUUGCAUAGUAAGUAGCUCUGUAUGCUAAAGAUCAUGGUUUAUUUUUAGGCUUGUUGAGUUUAAACCUUUUUGAUAUACACUGUUAUACUAUUGUUAUAUCAUUAAUGAAAUAAAUUAGCAACAUUAUAUAUAUAAACUUUAUUUUUUCAAUAUGCAUAAAUGCCAAGAAUUAUUCUCUUGGGACAAUGUUUUUCACAACCCGAAAUAUUACAAUGUGAUGAAAUUAGUAUUUCUAUAAUAAAGAUGGAUCUAUUUUCAGCUUUUAACAGUGUUUAUCGCCAAUGUGUUGUAGAAAAGAUGUACGGGAAAUAGCAAAAGAAACCAGCUUUGUCAUAGUCAAUUGAAAUGAGUGAAAGAAAGUAACUGGCACUUUCAAAAUACAACGUAUAUCGGUUUAUACAGGUGUCAAGUACUCAUAAGGUUCAUUUGAAAUACCAGUUUUGCAUGAAAUUGAAACCAAAAAAACGGGAUUUAACAAGAACUAUGUGCAAUCUCUGCACACUACUGAAUCCUGCAGAACAAAAUGUGAUAUUGAUGAAUGCCUAAAUACUACGAUCUGCUCGGACAAUUGGUCUCAAUGUGUCAACAACCUUGGUUCUUAUAUCUGUGUCUCCAUCACCAUCCGACUGAGAUCAUUUUUUCAAAGUGAUGGUAGUAAGUCCUGCGAGAAAAACAAUGGUGAUUGCUCCCAAGUGUGCA